rnacentral:rRNA from 1 species
CCUACGGGAGGCAGCAGUGAGGAAUAUUGGUCAAUGGACGAGAGUCUGAACCAGCCAAGUAGCGUGAAGGAUGACUGCCCUAUGGGUUGUAAACUUCUUUUAUAUGGGAAUAAAAUGUUCCACGUGUGGGAUUUUGUAUGUACUAUAUGAAUAAGGAUCGGCUAACUCCGUGCCAGCAGCCGCGGUAAUACGGAGGAUCCGAGCGUUAUCCGGAUUUAUUGGGUUUAAAGGGAGCGUAGGUGGAUUUUUAAGUCAGUUGUGAAAGUUUGCGGCUCAACCGUAAAAUUGCAGUUGAAACUGGCAGUCUUGAGUACAGUAGAGGUGGGCGGAAUUCGUGGUGUAGCGGUGAAAUGCUGAGAUAUCACGAAGAACUCCGAUUGCGAAGGCAGUUCACUGGACUGCAACUGACACUGAGGCUCGAAAGUGUGGGUAUCAAACAGGAUUAGAUACCCUGGUAGUC